GCAGUAGGGAAUCUUCCGCAAUGGACGAAAGUCUGACGGAGCAACGCCGCGUGAGUGAUGAAGGCUUUCGGGUCGUAAAACUCUGUCGUUAGGGAAGAACAAGUACGAGAGUAACUGCUCGUACCUUGACGGUACCUAACCAGACAGUCACGGCUAAGUACGUGCCAGCAGCCGCGGUUAUACGUAGGCUGGCAAGCGUUAUCAACGUAAUUAUUGGGAGUAAAGCGGCGCGCAGGGCGGUUUCAUAAAGUCUGAUGUGAAAGCCCACGGCUCAACCGUGGAGGCGUCAUUGGAAACUGGGGAACUUGAGUGCAGAAGAGAAAAGCGGAAUUCCACGUGUAGCGGUGAAAUGCGUAGAGAUGUGGAGGAACACCAGUGGCGAAGGCGGCUUUUUGGUCUGUAACUGACGCUGAGGCGCGAAAGCGUGGGGAGCAACACAGGAUUAGAUACCCUGGUAGUCCCACGCCGUAAACGAUGAGUGCUAAGUGUUAGAGGGUUUCCGCCCUUUAGUGCUGCAGCUAACGCAUUAAGCACUCCGCCUGGGGAGUACGGUCGCAAGACUGAAACUCAAAGGAAUUGACGGGGGCCCGCACAAGCGGUGGAGCAUGUGGUUUAAUUCGAAGCAACGCGAAGAACCUUACCAGGUCUUGACAUCCUCUGACAACUCUAGAGAUAGAGCGUUCCCCUUCGGGGGACAGAGUGACAGGUGGUGCAUGGUUGUCGUCAGCUCGUGUCGUGAGAUGUUGGGUUAAGUCCCGCAACGAGCGCAACCCUUGAUCUUAGUUGCCAGCAUUUAGUUGGGCACUCUAAGGUGACUGCCGGUGACAAACCGGAGGAAGGUGGGGAUGACGUCAAAUCAUCAUGCCCCUUAUGACCUGGGCUACACACGUGCUACAAUGGAUGGUACAAAGGGCUGCAAGACCGCGAGGUCAAGCCAAUCCCAUAAAACCAUUCUCAGUUCGGAUUGUAGGCUGCAACUCGCCUACAUGAAGCUGGAAUCGCUAGUAAUCGCGGAUCAGCAUGCCGCGGUGAAUACGUUCCCGGGCCUUGUACACACCGCCCGUCACACCACGAGAGUUUGUAACACCCGAAGUCGUGUGGAGUAACCGUAAGGAGCUAGCCGCCUGUGAGGUGGAC
rnacentral:rRNA from 2 species